GCGAGCAGCCCCGCAGCCUCCGAAGCGCCGGGCGGCAACGGGCAGCAUCAGCGGCGGCGGCGGCGAGAGGGUCUUUCCCUCAGCACAAAACAUGGCGGCGGUGUGAGGCGGCGCCGCGCUGCCCGCUCCGCGGUGCACAGCUCCGCAUGGCAGGCUCUGACACACCGAAGGGAAUAACCCGCCCGUCCUCGGCGUGUGGACAAUGAACGCGCUUACAUGGAGUUUUACCACAAUAUAGAUUUACGUUGUUUGUAUUCAACUCCAUAGUUCUGUUAACAGCCACCUGACAGGUCUCCUCCAGCCAGCGGUCUCAUUAACCCAGGAAACAUCGGAGUGCUGAGCUGGGAAUGAGGGGCAUAAGGAAGGGAAGGAAGACGGGGGCUGUCAGAAGCACUGCCAGCCGCUCUCCCAUCUCAGCAACCACUACUCUGGAAGGCGUUAAAGAACCACUCGGAAGAGUCUCAAAAUCACUGCAGUUGCCCAUUUUGGGGUCCCAAGACAAAGACUAACGAGGAACCCAUAACCUCACCUCUGCAACACAAGUCACAUCCACCUUUUGGCACUGCUGUAGGGCUGCUGCAGGCCCUGUAUUUUCUGCUACAGCAACGCUGACAGCUCUAAUGCAGGCAGAAUGGUAUUCUUGCCACCUAAACCUGUUUUAAACAGAGCUAACGAGCACUGAUUUUUUUCAGAUACAAAGAAAGAAGCCAUUAGUUCUGCAAUAACAACUCUUGAGCGUUGCCGCAAUAGUAGAAGUUUUCCCAAAAGUGGCUUGUGCCUAAAAUGGCAAAGAGAAAGCAACAUGAAAACCUGUAAAAAUCGCUCCAAAUAAGCUAAAGGGCAAAAGUUUAAAGGCAACAGAAGGAGAAGCAACCCCUGUAAUUGUGGUAAAACACAGAGCUGUUUUUCCUCAGUAUUCUCAAGCACAGGUAGUAAAAAAGUUUUCAUCAUCUUUUUUCUUUCGGCCCAAAGCAUGUUUUUUAAAGUUGGAAUAAAUACAUUUAGCAAAAAAAAA